UGAGUGGGCAAGACGAUCGCUGGUGCGACGCCUUUUUCGAAAGGCCAGUCGUUACUGGAGGAAAGUCCGGGCUCCAAAGGAUAGGAUGGUCGAUAACGUCGACCGGCCGCGAGGCUAGGGAAAGUGCAACAGAGAAUAGACCGCCACCGAUUGCCUCCUUGAGAGGCAGUUGGCGGUAAGGGUGAAACGGUGCGGUAAGAGCGCACCAGCGGUCGAGGUGACUCGAUCGGCUUGGUAAACCCCAUCCGGAGCUAGACCAAACAGAAUGCAGUGAACCGGUCCUUGGAUCGUUACAGCGUGUGAUCCGCACGCUUAUCGACAUUCGGGUAGGUCGCGAUCGAGGCGGCGAGCAAUCGUCGUGCACAGAUAAAUGGUCGUCGGCGAAAAACAUUUGUGAUUCGUUACAGAACCCGGCUUACCAGCCCACUCAUGAC
rnacentral:RNase_P_RNA from 1 species